rnacentral:rRNA from 1 species
CCGCGCGAAGGUAGCGUAAUCACUUGUCUUCUAAAUAAAGACUAGUAUGAACGGCCACACGAGGACUUGACUGUCUCCCCUGUCCAAUCAGUGAAACUGAUCCCCUCGUGCAGAAGCGAGGAUAUACCCAUAAGACGAGAAGACCCUAUGGAGCUUUAAACUCAAUAUUAAUUACCUUUUAACCCCCCUCUAAGGAACUAACAAAUAAUUUUAAAACUUAAUAUUAGUUUUAGGUUGGGGCGACCAUGGAGAAAAAAAUAUCCUCCCUGAUGAUCUUCUAACCAAGAGCCACAGCUCCRAGUAUUAAGAUUCUUAACUCCCAUUGACCCAUUUUGUGAUCAACGAACCAAGUUACCCUAGGGAUAACAGCGCAAUCCAUUUCAAGAGUCCCUAUCGACAAAUGGGUUUACGACCUCGAUGUUGGAUCAGGGCAUCCUA